rnacentral:rRNA from 1 species
AAUAGAUACCCGGGUAGUCCACGCCGUAAACGAUGAGUGCUAAGUGUUAGGGGGUUUCCGCCCCUUAGUGCUGCAGCUAACGCAUUAAGCACUCCGCCUGGGGAGUACGGCCGCAAGGCUGAAACUCAAAGGAAUUGACGGGGGCCCGCACAAGCGGUGGAGCAUGUGGUUUAAUUCGAAGCAACGCGAAGAACCUUACCAGGUCUUGACAUCCUCUGACAACUCUAGAGAUAGAGCGUUCCCCUUCGGGGGACAGAGUGACAGGUGGUGCAUGGUUGUCGUCAGCUCGUGUCGUGAGAUGUUGGGUUAAGUCCCGCAACGAGCGCAACCCUUGAUCUUAGUUGCCAGCAUUCAGUUGGGCACUCUAAGGUGACUGCCGGUGACAAACCGGAGGAAGGUGGGGAUGACGUCAAAUCAUCAUGCCCCUUAUGACCUGGGCUACACACGUGCUACAAUGGACGGUACAAAGAGUCGCAAGACCGCGAGGUGGAGCUAAUCUCAUAAAACCCGUUCUCAGUUCGGAUUGC